rnacentral:lncRNA from 1 species
GUUCAAAAGAAACAGCUUUAGGUAUUGUAAAACAAUGAAAUUCAAGGGGAAUCAGGUGAAGGUAUCAAAAGAAGGCAAUUGUGGGCCAUCCCGACUUUCUUGACUUGAUUUAAAAUCUACUGACUUUCCAGGUCCUUACACGCUCCGUCCCAUAACGGAAGUACAUUCUUCAAGUUUCUUCUCUCCAUAUUGUAAACUUACAUAUGAGGUGAACUUUGGGGACUCUCAGUGGGUAGACCUUGGAGUAGCUGCUCACUUGGUCACUUCCGGGCAGACCCACGCCCUCGUCCCCCACUGGAGAGAAGGGAGCCUGACUGAGAGCAGGGAAGCCUCUGAGGAAGGACUGGCCUUUAGGCAAAGGGCUAGCUCAGGAGAUUUGUUAAGUGCUUUGUAUGUCUUUUUCCAUAGUUGCGGGGGGAGGCUCUGAAGAGCAAAGCUGGAACCGCUUCUGUUGAUCGCUCUUCCUUUCAUCCCAGAUUUGAUUCUCCAUGAUGGACUUGCGGGCUUGCCCUGUCCCAGCCCAAGAGUCCCAGAUUCUGGUAUUACCGGUUGCUGCCCCUUCAAAUCAGCCGCUUACAACUCCAGAUAUCAAUGUUCAGCCUUUCAUGGGGUUGUCUUGCUGUGCGGUUCCCACGAGGACUUCCUGGGCAGAGCUUUGCAUAUCAUGAUAUAUUCUGGCAACUUUCUGCAGGGUCCAUAUGGAACCCAAGGGAAACCUGAAACCCAGGCAUUUCCCACACAGCCAUGUCUCCUGCUUCUACUCUCUGGGUCACUGGCCCUUCACCGCCUCUCUGGUGGCUUUCUCAAGGCUUGGAGCCAGUCCCAGUCCGGCCUUUAGACAGAAGAUCGAGCUCUCUGAGCUGUCAUUCUGAAGCCCCCCACAGGUAAAGGGAUCCAUCUCCAUUCCUUCCUUCAUGAAGUGUGUGUAGGGGGGGUGGUAAUGCUUAGCAUUCCAG